UUCCUUUAUGGCCUAAGCCUAUAUCACCUAUCUCUAUAAGGUGUGACAGUGCAGCAACAUUGGCUAAAGUAUAUAGCCAAGUUUACAAUGGGAAGUCUAGACAUUUAGGUGUCAGACAUAGCAUGGUUAGGGAGCUGAUCACUCAUGGGGUCAUUUCAGUUGAAUUUGUUGGGACACAACAAAAUCUGGCAGACCAUCUAACCAAAGGCUUGGCUAAAGAUUUAGUUAUCAAAUCUGCUAAAGGGGUGGGGCUCAAGUCCAUCUAAUCUUAUCUGUUUGGGAUACCCAAUUUCCUUCUAAUUUGAUAUUAGAUGUGAAAUUCAAUGUGGAAAGCCUAAAUAUGUGAGAUAGACACAUGUUCAAACCAUCCAAGAACAAGAUGAAAAGCUACCUAUACAAACAUGGAAUCCAAGUUGUUCCAAUAAAGCUCUGGACUUAGCUUUAUAAAUGUUUGUUGAAGGAUAUGGACACUAGACUUGUUAUAAAGGUGUCAGGUUUAGAUUAAUUGUUUGAUAAUUAUGUGUAUAUUAAGACUGAUAUUCAAAGGAAUUGUAAGAGUUCAAGUCUUAGACCACUCUUAUAAUUAGAAUGUUUGUACAUUGAUAUACUAAAAUGGAAAUUCAAUCCUUGUGAUAUUUUCAUUUAUGCAUAAUUUUUGUUUUCUGUUCUUUUGAUUUGAUCAUGCUUAUAAAUCCACUAAAAUAGGGGAGGAAUGUUGGAAUUUUAGUGUAUUAGCACUUUAAUUCUAAGGAAGAAUGUUGGAAUUUUAGUGUUUAUCACUUUAAUUUCUAAACAAUUCGGCUGCUUCAUUAGAAGCUUGUUCUAUCUUAUUUUAGUGUUUGA